CUACGGAUUAAAGUAGCAAUACGCCAAAUGAGUGGCUGAUAUCGGAUUAGUUUGUUGGUGAGGUAAAGGCUUACCAAGACCGUGAUCCGUAGCGGGUCUGAGAGGACGACCCGCCACACUGGGACUGAGACACGGCCCAGACUCCUACGGGAGGCAGCAGUGGGGAAUUUUGGACAAUGGAGGAAACUCUGAUCCAGCAAUACCGCGUGAGUGAAGAAGGCCUUUGGGUUGUAAAGCUCUUUUGUUGAAGAAAAAAUCUCGUGCAAACGAGGAUGAUGGUAUUCAAAGAAAAAGCACCGGCUAACUACGUGCCAGCAGCCGCGGUAAUACGUAGGGUGCGAGCGUUAAUCGGAAUAACUGGGCGUAAAGGGUGAGUAGGCGGUUUAGUAAGAUAGUUGUGAAAUUCCCGCGCUUAACGUGGGGACUGCGGCUAUGACUGCUAAACUAGAAUAGAACAGAGGAAAGUGGAAUUCCACGUGUAGCAGUGAAAUGCGUAGAGAUGUGGAGGAACACCAAUGGCGAAGGCAGCUUUCUGGGUUACUAUUGACGCUCAGUCACGAAAGCGUGGGGAGCAAACAGAGAUUAGAUACUCUGGUAGUCCACGCCCUAAACGAUGUCAACUAAAUGUUGGUAGUGUAAGAGCUAUCAGUAUUGUAGCUAACGCGUGAAGUUGACCGCCUGGGGAGUACGGUCGCAAGAUUAAAACUCAAAGGAAUUGACGGGGACCCGCACAAGCGGUGGAACAUGUGGUUUAAUUCGAUGAUACGCGAGGAACCUUACCCGGGCUUGAAUUGCAGGCGACGGGGCGAGAGAUUGCCCUUUCUUCGGACGCCUGUGAAGGUGCUGCAUGGUUGUCGUCAGCUCGUGCCGUGAGGUGUCGGCUCAAGUGCCAUAACGAGCGCAACCCCUGUCUCCAGUUGCCAUCAGGUGAUACUGGGCACUCUGGAGAUACUGCCAUCGCAAGAUGUGAGGAAGGUGGGGAUGACGUCAAAUCAGCACGGUCCUUACGUCCGGGGCUACACACGUGUUACAAUGGGUGGUACAGAGAGUCGGCCGCUGGCAAUGGCGGUCCAAUCAUCAAAGCCAUCCUCAGUUCGGAUUGGGGUCUGCAACCCGACCCCAUGAAGCUGGAUUCGCUAGUAAUCGCGCAUCAGCCAUGGCGCGGUGAAUACGUUCCCGGGCCUUGCACUCACAGCCCGUCA
rnacentral:rRNA from 1 species